rnacentral:rRNA from 1 species
GCUCCCUGAUGUUAGCGGCGGACGGGUGAGUAACACGUGGGUAACCUGCCUGUAAGACUGGGAUAACUCCGGGAAACCGGGGCUAAUACCGGAUGGUUGUUUGAACCGCAUGGUUCAAACAUAAAAGGUGGCUUCGGCUACCACUUACAGAUGGACCCGCGGCGCAUUAGCUAGUUGGUGAGGUAACGGCUCACCAAGGCGACGAUGCGUAGCCGACCUGAGAGGGUGAUCGGCCACACUGGGACUGAGACACGGCCCAGACUCCUACGGGAGGCAGCAGUAGGGAAUCUUCCGCAAUGGACGAAAGUCUGACGGAGCAACGCCGCGUGAGUGAUGAAGGUUUUCGGAUCGUAAAGCUCUGUUGUUAGGGAAGAACAAGUGCCGUUCAAAUAGGGCGGUACCUU